UACGAAGGGGGCUAGCGUUGUUCGGAAUUACUGGGCGUAAAGCGCACGUAGGCGGGCGAUUAAGUCAGGGGUGAAAUCCUGGAGCUCAACUCCAGAACUGCCUUUGAUACUGAAGAUCUUGAGUUCGGGAGAGGUGAGUGGAACUGCGAGUGUAGAGGUGAAAUUCGUAGAUAUUCGCAAGAACACCAGUGGCGAAGGCGGCUCACUGGCCCGAUACUGACGCUGAGGCACGAAAGCGUGGGGAGCAAACAGG
rnacentral:rRNA from 1 species